CUAACGUCCGUCGUGAAGAGGGAAACAACCCAGACCGCCAGCUAAGGUCCCAAAGUCAUGGUUAAGUGGGAAACGAUGUGGGAAGGCCCAGACAGCCAGGAUGUUGGCUUAGAAGCAGCCAUCAUUUAAAGAAAGCGUAAUAGCUCACUGGUCGAGUCGGCCUGCGCGGAAGAUGUAACGGGGCUAAACCAUGCACCGAAGCUGCGGCAGCGACACUAUGUGUUGUUGGGUAGGGGAGCGUUCUGUAAGCCUGUGAAGGUGGCCUGUGAGGGUUGCUGGAGGUAUCAGAAGUGCGAAUGCUGACAUAAGUAACGAUAAAGCGGGUGAAAAGCCCGCUCGCCGGAAGACCAAGGGUUCCUGUCCAACGUUAAUCGGGGCAGGGUGAGUCGACCCCUAAGGCGAGGCCGAAAGGCGUAGUCGAUGGGAAACAGGUUAAUAUUCCUGUACUUGGUGUUACUGCGAAGGGGGGACGGAGAAGGCUAUGUUGGCCGGGCGACGGUUGUCCCGGUUUAAGCGUGUAGGCUGAUUUUCCAGGCAAAUCCGGAAAAUCAAGGCUGAGGCGUGAUGACGAGGCACUACGGUGCUGAAGCAACAAAUGCCCUGCUUCCAGGAAAAGCCUCUAAGCAUCAGGUAACAUCAAAUCGUACCCCAAACCGACACAGGUGGUCAGGUAGAGAAUACCAAGGCGCUUGAGAGAACUCGGGUGAAGGAACUAGGCAAAAUGGUGCCGUAACUUCGGGAGAAGGCACGCUGAUAUGUAGGUGAAGCG
rnacentral:rRNA from 1 species